rnacentral:lncRNA from 1 species
UGAUCACUUUCAACAGAUUUUAUCAGAUAUUUAAGUAAAUAAUUAUUUAUAGAAAAUAAACAUAUAGAGUUCAUCAAUUUGAAAUCAAUUUCGAUUAUGCAAUAUAGUUCAUCCCAAAUUUAUUUCAUUUUCAAAAAUUUAAGUUUCUUUCAAGAUUUCAAUUUCUUUCAUUCUUAAGUUCUUUUCAUCAACCAUGAGUUAUGACCAUAUUUUUCCUAUGGCA